CGCAAUGGAUAACCGAAAAAAUUUUAUUCAUAAAAAUGGCGGCGGUGUGGUUCGCCACCCAUCACGUCUCGUUUCUCGCGGGGGCGAAAAGUGGCCCAUGGAGAGCCGCUUUGCUACGUUGAAUGUAAGAGGAGGAAUGGAUGGUAAGGUAGAUGAAGUAUGUCAGAUGAUGGAUGAAAGAUUCAUAGAUAUUUUGUGUGUGCGGGGUAGCUAAAAGAAGGAAAGGAAGAAAGAACUAUAAUGUGUGGAUGGAUAAAGAUGUACAAAAGGCUGUGCAAGAAAAGAAGAAAGCGUGGUUAGAUUGGUUAGCAACAAAAGCUAACCAAAAGGUUCAAAAGGCAACGGAUGACGAGGUAAAGGAAGCAAGAACGAAGUAUAAAAGAUUGAAAUCAGUAGCGAAAGAAGUUGUGUCUAGAAAGAAA
rnacentral:misc_RNA from 1 species